rfam:Triticum aestivum genome assembly, contig: Triticum_aestivum_CS42_TGACv1_scaffold_513531_6BS
AAAGUACUCCCUCUGUCCCAAAAUUCUUGUCUUAGAUUUGUCUAGAUACGGAUGUAUCUAAUACUAAAAUGUGACUUGAUACUAAAAUGUGACUUGAUACAUCCAUAUCUAGACAAAUCUAAGACAAGAGAUUUGGGACAGAGGGAGUAGUUG